rnacentral:lncRNA from 1 species
CAGCUUAGCUGUAAAUCACACUGCAGACACAUGGGAGCUGACUCCUUGGAAAUAGAAACCAGAGGAAAGGGAGGACAAGGAUUUGUUACCAUUGCCCUGACCUUGAUGAGUCAUUACAAUUGCCUGGUCAUGACUCUCCAGUGUCAUGUGUUAACUCUGAGCUGAUGGAGGUGGUCUUCAAGGUGGCUGGGUUAUGGACCUGACGUUGGCUCAGGAGGUAACAGUAUCGUUUGUUCCCCAAAUCAAAUCUGUCAAACACCCUGGCUUUCAGUUCCUCUGACAGUACAGGGAAGCUCUCUGUGAUGUAUUGCCAAAAGCUUUUGUCCAAAUCUACUGAAUCCUGCAGAAUGGUGAUUUGAUCUCAGGAGAUCAAGAGUCUUGCACUUUUAACUGGUUUUCUUGGGAGCAAGGAUAUGAGUACAGGCCUCCAGUAUCCACUGCUGCAGUUGGAACAAUUGCUGCAAGUCACUUUAAGCAGCAGUUGACUCAGGCAUGCAAGUGGAGCUGUCUGGGUGCCAGGGCUUAGCAGGGGAGCAGGUAAAUUUGCUAUCUUAGUCCUGUUCACCCACAGCUCAGUAGACAGUAACCAGAGCAGGACAGAUGACGUGGACACAGCUCACAGCAAGACAGAGCCGUCACAAGCAUCAAGCACGGGCUGGUUAUCAUCUCCCACCCUUGUCCCUGCCUUCUGGCCCUGCACCCCCUUCCCAGGUCCCCUGCCCAGUCAGGUCUGUCCCUUUCCUUGCUUCUGUGAUAUAUUGCUGUUCCUGUGCUCCAAAGCAGUGGGGUAAGAUCCUUGUGUCAGUUAUAUUUCUGUCACAGAUGUGCUGGCCUUGGCAUUUGACAAAUCCCAAAGUCAGCUAAACUUACUCAGCUAGAACAGAGCACUGUUAGCAGAUGCAUAUUCAUCAGGCCAAUAGUUCUUUUUAAUUUUCUUCCUCUCCUGCUUAGCUUCAUUUUUGCUUAUGAAUUGUAUUACACUUGCUUCCAUUAACAGGAGAUGUAUCGCCUCUGUCAGCCUCUGAGUAAUAACCAAACUGCCCCAGGCAAUUGAACUGCCCACAGGGCCAAUAGAUCUGAUGGCAGCACAUAAAACAGACCAGUGAGUACCAUCAGCUUGCAAUCCAGCAGGACGAACAGCCAAACAGCACUUUGUGAGGUGGUUGACUUGAAGGACUGAUAGUGCUGUGUUAGGCUCCAAGAAGUUUGUUUUCUGGCCUUGGAAGAAGGAGGGAUGCUUUCUGAGUUUCCCAGUAGUGAUUUGGCUCUGAGACUUCCUUCUUGUUUGUUUGAAUUUGGCUUCAGAGCAGCUAAAGGGUUAUGUAGUGUAAAAUCUGAAAAAGCAGAAUCAUAUUUUACACCAAGAUGCCCGACUCUUGCAAGAAAUAACACAGUGCCAGAAAACAGGAUGCUCAUUUAUGGCAGACACUGUCUGAUAGCCAGCACAAACUCUAAGGUGCCUGCCCCUGGUAAUCUGUUGUUGCACAGCCCUCACAAGCCUUGAUGGCAGGACCAAGUCAAAUUCUGGCAUCCGUUUGCACCCUCAGCAUCAUUUCUCCUGUCGUGUCCCAUUCAAAUACCUUCUCCCCAGUUUGCUGUCUGGCAUGUGAGUCUCUACAGAGCAAAUGGAGGCUUUUCCUAGGAGUGAUCUGGAUGGCAUUUCUGAAACUUGGGCUUAUUUCUUUCCCACUUGUUGCUGAACUCCCCUCCCUUUUACU